rnacentral:snoRNA from 1 species
AUGCUGUGUAGGAUGUAUCUAAAUACAUCAUUCUGAAGACAGAGAUGUAGAAGUUGGCAUG